AGCAACAGCUGUAUCGGAAUAAGUAUCCUUUUUAAAAUUCUUUUUCUUUACCUUGAGACAUUGUUUCUCUUCACGUGAUUACCACUUGGAGGUUGGGCUAAAUGCUUUGAUGUCAUUUCCUGUUAAACACUAUAUUAUACGUUGUUUCACAUCCAUUGUAUACACUUGACAAAGAGUCCUUGGAGACUCGAAACAUGUUGUGUUGAACAAUAAACACCUAAUUGAGCAGUUAAUUCUGCAGUCUGGAUCGUUCCUUGGAAAACUUUAUUUUGUGGAUUGAUAUAGUUGCACUUACGGCGGAGGUGCACCCCAAGGCUUCGAUCGAAAGUUUGUUUGGCAUUGGUUUGAGGUAACUAGCAUCUCUCAUUUAUUGGACUUGAUUUUUCCGCCUGCUGGUUUACCUUAACUACUGAUUAAUUACUAAAGGAUGUCAGAAGGAACCUCGCCCGGUCUACCUAAUACAGGGGCCGUGACUUUUGCCUAUAAUGAUGUAGAAAUCAAUAGAAUUCUUGCAGAGAUAAACACAGAUCCUAUGCUGUUUGAAGACAAACCUCUGCAUAUGAACCUGGCAAAAGAUCUUUUAUAUGUACAAAGAAAGGAAACACACAUCACUCUACAUGUGAGUACUCUAGCCGAAUAUAUUAAACUCAGACGUAUUCCAAGAGGCCUGCGACUAGAUAUCAAACCUAACCUUUGUGCCAACAAUAAAGUGCUGCAACAGAAGUGGUUUGAGAUUUGUAACAAAUGCAGCAUUGACCUUAUGGUACUUACUGUUGAAAGAUUGACAAUUAAGCUGCAAGAAACCCGUGUAGCUAUAGACGAGUUGAAAAUCAAGGCACAGGAAGAACUUGGAUCACAGAAACUUACUGAGGUGCUGGUGGAGCAUAACCACAUCCUAAGCAAACUGAAGGAAAGCAUCAAGGAAAAGAAACGCGCCAAGUUUGAACGAGACGCUAUCGACUAUAGAGAGAACAGAGUCUAUUCAUGGAAGGAGGAGCGAAAAUGGCAGCGUUCGCAGGAGAGACAGCAGACCGGACUGCCCGCACCACCAUACCGGCAACUACGUGGCACCCAGCGCACUACAGUGGACUUACCCGGAAGGAUUCCAGAAAGCACACUGAGAAGGCAGCAGGGACCGCCGUACACAGCCGCGACCAGCAGCGAAGACUCGGCAACAUCUAUACAGGCGUCCUCAAGUUCCUUGGCGUCCUCGGUUUCUUUUUUGGAUCCGCGUACUACAAUACAAGACAGCGAUCGGAAACAGCACCACAGCAAAGGGUCGAGAGGGGGCAGAGGUCGCUACCCGAAACGGACCCGCAAACAAACCAGGUAAAUUUAGUUAUUAAUAUUUCCUCAUAUGAAUUGACUGCGUCUGAGCUUAGCGUAUUGAACAAAGGCCUAAACUUUAUCCCAUAUUACGACGCUGAUCUGACUAAUUGGGAAAUCGAAUUUCAAAAGUUCUUGCGUGACUUGAAAUUAAAAGCUUACUUUUCAGGCGCUGUACCAAAGGAUUGUUCUGUAAAAGCUGGAUGUAAACUUAAAAAACGUAGCAACUUUAUACCGGAGUACAAUAACGAAUCUUUAAUAGCUUUCGAAAAUGUUGUAAAUUUUGAGGUUAAGAAACACUGGAAGACACAGGGAGAUAAAUGCUUUCGCCCUAACCUCACGUUUAAGGAGAAAAGAGCUUUAGAUUCAUUAAAGACUAAUAACACCAUUAUUAUACGUAAAGCAGACAAAGGGGGAGCAACGGUAGUUAUGGAUAUGAUAAAGUAUGAAGCUGAAGCCCUUAACCAACUAAAUGUACCAGGACACUAUGAAAGAAUAGACCACGACCCCACAUUACAGAUCAAAAAGGAUAUUGACCUUAUGGUGACACAAGCAUGGGAAAACGGAGUGAUUCAGACACAGGAGAAGGAUUUCCUUACAACUGAGUUUCCACGUAUCCCGGUGUUGUAUUUGCUCCCGAAAAUCCAUAAGAGCCUUGUCAGCCCACCAGGGAGACCGAUAGUCUCGGGCAUUGGGUCUGUCCUGGAACCUUUAUCUAAAUUUGUAGAUACCUUCCUACAACCAUUAACCUGUCACAUACCAGUGUGUUUGAAGGACACCACGGACUUAUUGGUUAAAAUGAAUGCCUUGGAGGCACUAGACCCCGAUAUUAUAUUGGUGAGCGUGGAUAUACAAAGCUUAUAUACCUCUAUCCCACAGGAUGAUGGCAUAAGGGUCAUAGAAGAGGCUUUUUUAGAUACCAACUUGUUACCACAGUUAAUGUAUUUUUUAAUUGACUGUUUAUCGAUUGUAUUACAAAAAAAUUAUUUCAGGUUUGCAGGCAAGUACUAUUGGCAACGACAGGGCACGUCGAUGGGUGCUGCAGUAGCACCAGCCUUCGCCAACCUCUUCGUACAUGAUCUGGAGAAAAAAGUAUUCCUGAAAGGGGCAUUUAAAGAACACAUCAUCCAUUAUUUUCGAUAUGUGGACGACAUCCUUAUCUUUUGGAAAGGUCCUGUUCAAACCUUUGAGGAGAUGGUCGUAGAAGCCAAUAAAGCCCAUAAAACCAUUAAAUUUACAUCUGAGGUUGGUGGCCUCUCGUUGAAUUUCCUGGAUGUACACCUCACCAUCUCUGAAGGCCGUGUGCACACUAGCCUAUACAGGAAGGAUACAGAUAGGAAUAAUGUUCUGCAUGCCAAAAGUUUCCAUGCCCCCCUCCGAUCUAGAGAAGUUUGAAAACGCUACCGAAAAUCUGAAAAAAAGAUUUCUAGAUAGGGGUUACAACAAAAAGUCCAUUAAUGAAUGUAUUGAAGACACUUACAAAAUUGAUAGGAAGGAAUUGCUUACUUACAAACCUAAAAAAGAGAGUAAACGGUUACCAUUUGUAUCUACGUUCAGCGUAAACAGUAAAGUUAUAGAAAAUACCAUACGCAAAUACUGGCCUAUUGUCCAACAGGAUACCACUUUGGGUAAAUGUGUCCCUAAUACUCCCCUUUUCAGUUAUAAAAGAGGAUGUAACCUAAGGGACAUCUUAUGUCCAUCAGAGGUUAACCCCUCGGGUCCACGUACGCAAAGGUUUAUUGGAAAACCAAAGAAGGGUACGUUUGCAUGCUUAAAUUGCAUAUGUUGUACAUCUAUAAUUAAAGGGGACACGAUCAAUCAUCCAUGUGAUGGGACCCCCAUACGCCUAAAACAUUAUGCUACCUGCGACACCUGUAACGUGGUCUACCUGCUCAAAUGCCCAUGUGGGAUGGCAUACGUGGGCCAGACAGUGAGACAAGUUAAAUCACGCAUCAAAGAGCAUCGAGGCUACAUUAGGAAUUUUAAAAAGGAUACUUAUUCCGAUACAGCUGUUGCUAGACAUUUCUCGGCUAUGAGUCAUAACGUAAACCAACUAAAAUGGCUAGUUUUGGAGGUCGUAUAUAACCCCCCAAGAGGUGGGGAUCUAAAAUUGCGAUUAUCUCAAAGAGAGAUGUACUGGAUUAGAAAGCUUAACACUGUGAACCCUAAAGGGUUAAAUGAAUCCCGGAGUGUAAAAAGCUUCUUGUGAAACGAUGCUAACACUAUUUUUAUGCCUCCUCUCUUCCAGAUAUUGACCCCUUAGCCACACAUUCAGAAUGUUUCAGAAUCCAGUUAUGCACAUUGGUGAUAGUUGAAGGUUGUCUACGAAUAAAAAUUGAA